rnacentral:rRNA from 1 species
AUGGCGACGGCCGCCGCCACCGCCGCCAAGCCGGCGGCGAGGACGACGGUGAACGUGGCCGGGGCCGUGUACCGCGUGCAGCUGGCCCUCCUCGACGGCGCAGCGGCCUCCAACGAGCCCCUCCUCCACGCGGCCGCCGCUAUCCUCUCCCGCGCCGACUACGACGACGUCGUCACCGAGCGCUCCAUCGCCGAGGCGUGCGGCCACCCAGCGUGCACCAGCUCCCUCCCCGACCCCGCCAACCCCAAGGCGGCGCCGCGGUUCCACAUCUCCCUCCGCGAGCACCGCGUCUACGACCUCGAGGAGGCCCGCAAGUUCUGCUCCGAGCGCUGCCUCGUCGCCUCCGCGGCCUUCGCCGCCUCGCUCCCGCCCGACCGCCCCUUCGGGAUCCCGCCCAACAGGCUGGACGCCCUGGUCGCGCUCUUCGAGGGCAGCGGGGACGGUCCGGGGCUAGGGUUUCGGUCGGACGGUGGGAAGAAGGAGGACGAGGGGAGGAAGGUGGAGAUUGUGGAGAAGGAGACGCCUGGGCCUGGGGAGGUGACGCUGCAGGAGUGGAUUGGGCCGUCGGGCGCCAUCGAGGGCUAUGUGCCCCGCCAUCACCCCAUUCAUGAAGGGCCAAUGCCACAGGCUAAACAGGGCAAAGCUAGUAGAGCUGAGCUGUCCGGGAAUAAGAAUGUGGAUUCUGGGGCUGCUGUUCUUGGCGAACAUAGCAUGGCAGUUUCAUCUUCUUCAGUUGAAGCACAAGUGGGCUCUGAAGAUAUAGCUAAAAAAAUUGAUGGCAUGGUCCUUCAUGAGAACACAAAAACGAAGAAAAAAGGCGCAGAUAAAACCCUAUCAAAGAUUUUCCAACAGGAUGAAGAUACGGAUAUGUUAUUGCCUUGCAUAACUGAUUCCAUUGCGAAGCAACUAGAGCUUGUAGUUUUGGAAGAGAGAAAUGACAAGAAGAAAAAGAAAUCAACUAGAGCAUCAUCAAGGGCAUGCAAGAGUAAGCCUGCAAGAAAACCUGCUGGAAGUAAUGGCCAUGAAGUAGGCUUUACUAGUACAAUCAUUAUGGGGGAUCCUGCUUCGGUAAAGAUGGAUCAAGGGCCUUUGGGUCAAUAUGACUUUGCAAGUUCCAUCCUCAUAGAUAAUCAGCCCUCAUCAUCUCAAUACACAGUAAGAGAUUCAAUGCAUACUUACACUGAACAACUACACAAAGAAUUCAGUAAAGCAGUGGACCUUGAAAAAAAUGAGACAAGUGACGAGAAGGUUAGUGCUGCACUAAAAUCUUCACUGAAGGCUGUAGGGUCUAAGAACAGAAGUCAGUCUGUGACAUGGGCAGAUGAUAAUGGGAGCAUCUUAGAAGCAAGCAAAGCAUAUGACAUCGAUUCAGAUGCUAAAAAUCUAUCUAUGGAGGACAUUGACAGUUCACUAAGGCGUGAAUCCGCAGAGGCUUGCGCAGCUGCCCUUAUUGAAGCUGCAGGAGCUAUUUCUUCAGGCACAUCAGAAGUGGAAGAUGCAGUUUCCAAGGCAGGGAUCAUCAUAUUGCCUGACAUGCUUCACCAGAAACAGUUCGAGAAUGUCCAUGGCAAAGAUACAGUGGAAAAGGUAGUAUCUGAAACAGAUGGUAAUGUUGUGAAGUGGCCAACAAAGACCGUGCUUCUGGACACUGACAUGUUUGAAGUUGAUGAUUCUUGGCACGACACACCACCAGAAGGUUUCAGUUUAACACUGUCUGCUUUUGCAACAAUGUGGACGACAAUAUUUGGAUGGAUAUCCCGGUCAUCUUUGACCUAUGUAUACAUGCUUGAUGACAGUUCUGUGGAAGAAAUGUUGAUUUCUAAUGGGAGAGAGUAUCCUGAGAAGCGAGUUUCGAAAGAUAGUCAAUCAUCUGAAAUUAAAAGAGCUUUAGCUUCUUGCAUUUCUAAUGCACUGCCGGUACUUGUAUCAAACAUGAGGAUGCAAAUCCCAGUUUCAAAGUUGGAGACUACUCUGGGAUACUUGAUUGACACAAUGUCACUUGUUGACGCACUGCCUGCUCUGAGAUCAAGGCAAUGGCAGCUGCUGGUUCUUGUUCUGCUCGAUGCACUCUCUGUGCACCGGCUUCCUGCUCUUGCUCCAGUGAUCUCAGACUCAAAGCUUGUGCACAAGGUCUUAAACUCGGCUCAGGUUAGCAGAGAGGAGUACGACUCCAUUGUCGACCUCAUCCUCCCUUUUGGAAGAUCUGGCCAGACGCCCAUGUCAAGUUAA